UACGGAGGGAGCAAGCGUUACUCGGAUUCAUUGGGCGUAAAGGGUGCGUAGGCGGCGCGGUAAGUCGGGUGUGAAAUUUCGAGGCUUAACUUCGAAACUGCAUUCGAUACUGCCGUGCUUGAGGACUGGAGAGGAGACUGGAAUUUACGGUGUAGCGGUGAAAUGCGUAGAUAUCGUAAGGAAGACCAGUGGCGAAGGCGGGUCUCUGGACAGUUCCUGACGCUGAGGCACGAAGGUCAGGGGAGCAAACGGG
rnacentral:rRNA from 1 species